GUGCUCCUCAGUUCUCGAAACGUUAAUAGGUUUUACAAGCACCUUUUCCGCUGUCGCGGAAAAGGUGUUUUUUGUAGGC
rnacentral:sRNA from 1 species